AGGGAGGACCCGGAAGUAUGUAUGACAACCGUGUGAGAAGAAGGUCCCAAAUCCCUCUCUUAAAACCUUGGGAUUGUGCUUGAGACUCAGCCCCGAUGUGUUCCUUGGUAAUUCACUCGCCUGGUUUACCCACACUGUAUGCUCCCCCUACCUGCCCCUACCUUGUCAUAAGUGCUGAGGAUUGAACCCAUGGCCUUGUGCAUGUCAGGUGCUGGGAACAUUACAUCUUCAUGUCCCAGGGACAAGAAAAUUAAAUAUCUGCAGGCAGCAAUGUGCCCAGUGUUAGUUUUCCCGACUUUUUGGAUGGUUGUGCUGUGGUUUUAUUGAAGAAUGUCCCUUGAAGGGAUGCUGUGUAACCAGCUACCUCGUGCUUCUGCCACCAUUGCUUCCCCACUGUGAUAGGCUGUGCACACUCAAACUGCAAGCCAACAUAAACCCCACCCUCCUUAGUUUGCUUUUCCCAGGUAUUUUGUCCCAUAUUGCUAACUUAAGCACAAGCUUGGGGUUAGUUUCAUUAACCCUAAGAGGAAAAAAAUAAUAUCUGUUCAAAGAAAGCAGUUGCAAACAAAUACUAGACAUUAACAGAGUGAUUUUAAGGUAAUUUGUGUCUGUAAAUAAUAAUUUCUUCCUAAACCUCUGCCUUAGCUUCCCUGUAUGCUACCCAACAUAUGCAUGAGUAUCUCGGAGUUUGUUUUGAUUGGGCAAUCCUUUACAGAAAGAGAUUAUGAAUUCAGUUUGC
rnacentral:lncRNA from 1 species